rnacentral:rRNA from 1 species
GAUGAACGCUGGCGGCGUGCCUAAUACAUGCAAGUCGAGCGAACAGACGAGGAGCUUGCUCCUCUGACGUUAGCGGCGGACGUGUGUGUAACACGUGUAUAACCUACCUAUAAGACUUGGAUAACUUCGGGAAACCGGAUCUAUUCCGGUUUAUUUAUUUAACCUCUUUGUUCAAUUGUUAAAUUCGGUUUUUCUUUCACUUUUAGCUUGAUCCUCGCCUCAUUAGCUAGUUGGUAAGGUAACGGCUUACCAAGGCAACGAUGCGUAGCCGACCUGAGAGGGUGAUCGGACACACUGGAACAGAGACACGGACAAGACGACUACGGGAGGCAGCAGUAGGGAAUAUUACGCAAUGGGCGAAAGCAUGACGGAGCAACGCCGAGUGAGUGAUGAAGGUCUUAGGAUCGUAAAACUCUGUUAUUAGGGAAGAACAAAUGUGUAAGUAAAUAUGCACGUAUUGACGGUAACUAAUCAGAAAGCCACGGCUAACUACGUG